GGUGAGGUUUUCGAGUUCUGCUGUUUUUCUCGUAGUAGUGAUGAUAAUCAAACCCUAUAUGUGACUGCAAUGCAAGGCCUGCGUGGAAUCAUUGUCUCUUGGAACACUAUAACAGAUUAUGGGCAGGCGAUUGGGACCAAGGAUUCUUGGUAGGGCUGAUGAUUCUAUGGUAAAUAUCUGCUUCUUAUUUGCAUUUGAAAUUUUGACAUAAACGAUAUAAGCUAUUGUAAGUAGAUAGUUUCUUGUUUUUUGGUGGAAUAUGUGCAUGUGUGGAUAAAAUAAGGAAAUGACUCGAACAACGAAUGAUGCCUAGCGAU